GAUGAACGCUGGCGGCGUGCCUAAUACAUGCAAGUCGAGCGAACAUACGAGGGGCUUGCUCCUCUGAUGAUUGCGGCGGACGUGUGAGUAACACGUGGAUAACCUACCUAUCAGACUGGGAUAACCUCGAGACACCGGAUCUAAUACCGGAUAAUAUAUUGCACCACAUGGUUCAAUAGUGAAAGACGGUUUUGCUGUCACUUAUAGCUGGAUCCGCGCCGCAUUAGCUAGUUGGUAAGGUAACGGCUUACCAAGGCGACGAUGCGUAGCCGACCUGACAGGGUGAUAGGCCACACUAGAACUGAGACGCGGACCAGACUCCUACGGGAGGCAGCAGUAGGGAAUCUUCCGCAAUGGGCGAAAACCUGACGGAGCAAGGCCAAGUGAGUGAUGAAGGUCUUCGGAUCGUAAAACUCUGUUAUUAGGGAAAAACAAAUGUGUAAGUAACUAUGCACGUCUUGACGGUACCUGAUCAGAAAGCCACGGCUAACUACGUG
rnacentral:rRNA from 1 species